CUGGGGCAUCCUGGCGUGGACUUUCAGGCACGAGAGCGCCGUUAACCUCGCACCACAAGCCGGCUCUCCCACUGCGGUUGAGAUCCGACAGACUAAUGGCACCUACUGUGUGAUGAAGCAGUUAAGAGACCACACAGAUCUCCAGGCCCAGAGUUCUAAGAAAUGGUCAACAUCACAUCAUCUGAUGAUUUCCAUCUACUCGAGAACAUAUGAAAAUGAAGGAAAACGUCCUAAUUUCUUUCAUAGAGCAAAAAUAACAUUGAGGCUUUAGCCUGAUAAAUAUGUUAAGAAAAGUAUAUAUUAAUGAUAUCACAUAUACUGAUG